rnacentral:rRNA from 1 species
CAAUACAGAGGCUGGCGACCGGCAAACGGGUGCGGAACACGUACACAACCUUCCUUUUAGUGGGGAAUAGCCCGGGGAAACCCGGAUUAAUACCCCGUAAUAUAAUGAAGUGGCAUCACUUUAUUAUUAUAGCAGCAAUGCGCUUAAAGAUGGGUGUGCGACUGAUUAGGCAGUUGGCGGGGUAACGGCCCACCAAACCUACGAUCAGUAACUGGUGUGAGAGCACGACCAGUCACACGGGCACUGAGACACGGGCCCGACUCCUACGGGAGGCAGCAGUAAGGAAUAUUGGUCAAUGGACGCAAGUCUGAACCAGCCAUGCCGCGUGGAGGAUGAAGGUCCUCUGGAUUGUAAACUUCUUUUAUCUGGGAAGAAAUCCACGAAUUCUUUUGUGGUUGACGGUACCAGAUGAAUAAGCACCGGCUAACUCCGUGCCAGCAGCCGCGGUAAUACGGAGGGUGCAAGCGUUAUCCGGAUUCACUGGGUUUAAAGGGUGCGUAGGUGGGCAGGUAAGUCAGUGGUGAAAUCUCCGGGCUUAACUCGGAAACUGCCAUUGAUACUAUCUGUCUUGAAUACCGUGGAGGUCAGCGGAAUAUGUCAUGUAGCGGUGAAAUGCUUAGAUAUGACAUAGAACACCAAUUGCGAAGGCAGCUGGCUACACGAAUAUUGACACUGAUGCACGAAAGCGUGGGGAUCAAACAGGAUUAGAUACCCUGGUAGUCCACGCCCUAAACGAUGGAUACUCGACAUACGCGAUAUACUGUGUGUGUCUGAGCGAAAGCAUUAAGUAUCCCACCUGGGAAGUACGAUCGCAAGAUUGAAACUC